AUGGAUAGGCAACGCAUUUCAUCUUCAGUCUACAACAACGACGAGUUCGAUGCCGCGAACAACCCCACCAACGCCAAGAUGCAAGCUCAAAUGGAGGAGAUCAAAGCCCUCAUCAAGUCCUACAAGCGGUCUUCCUCAUCUUCGAGAAGACGCUCAAGAGCACAUGCCUCCGAGCUACCAUCUCCGACAAGGUCACAUCGGCAUCGACACCAUCACCACCAUGAACGUGAAGGUCAAGAGCUCAACACCAACAACCGCUCAACGACUUCACCAUCGCCCUUGGCAUCUUCGCCAAGCGACUUCAAGGCAUCUUCGCCUACGGACAUACGACAUCUUCGCCCACAAGCACCUCAAGAGAAGCUCCCUAAGCUCAAGUCCACGACUUCCACGAGCUACUACGACCUCGACAUCGAGCACGCGAUUCCUUUCGAUGGGAAUCAAGAACCCGAGGAGUAUCUCGAGUGGGAGCGUUUGAUGGAUGACUACCUCAAGCUACAUCAAGUUCCUCCCAAAGAUCAAGUGAAGUGUGCCACAAGGAACUUCCACGACUACGCGUCCACAUGGUGGCUUCACGCACCUUCGGAGACCUACGACAUGAGUUGGCCCAAGACGAAGAGAGUUUUGCGGCGAGAGUUUGUGCCUCCAACCUACACGGACAACUUUUAUGCCAAUUGGAGAACACCACCCAAGGAUCCAAGUCCAUCGACGCAUACUUCAAGGAGAUGA
rnacentral:rRNA from 1 species